rnacentral:rRNA from 1 species
UGGUCAAGUUAUUAAGGGUGCAGGGCGGAUGCCUUGGCACUAGGAGCCGAUGAAGGACGUGAUAAGCUGCGAUAAGCUUCGGGGCGUUGCACGUAAACUUUGAUCGGCAGAUUUCCGAAUGAGGAAACUCACUUAGGUUAAUGACUAAGUAUCAUGAAGUGAAUACAUAGCUUAAUGAGGGGAACUCAGGGAACGGAAACAUCUAAGUACCUGAAGGAAGAGAAAGAAAGUCGAUUCCGUAAGUAGCGGCGAGCGAACGCGGAUUAGCCCAAACCAAUAAAGUUUUCUUUGUUGGGGUUGCGGACAUAUCAUAACGAAGAGGUAUCGUAAUUGAAGAGGUUUGGAAAGACCCACCACAGAAGGUAAUAGUCCUGUAUGUUAAACGAGAAGACUUUAGAUAUGAUCCAGAGUACCACGGGACACGUGAAACCCUGUGGGAAGCAGGAGGGACCACCCUCCAAGGCUAAAUACUACCUAGUGACCGAUAGCGUAUAGUACCGUGAGGGAAAGGUGAAAAGAACCCCGGGAGGGGAGUGAAAUAGAACCUGAAACCCUGCACUUACAAGCUGUGGAAGCACAUUUCUUGUGUGACCGCGUACUUUUUGUAGAACGGGCCAACGAGUUACGUUAAGUAGCAAGGUUAAGCACUUAAGGUGCGGAGCCGUAGCGAAAGCGAGUUUUAACUGAGCGUUCAGUUACUUGACGUAGACCCGAAACCGGGCGACCUACCCAUGAGCAGGAUGAAGCGAAAGUAAAAUUUCGUGGAGGUCCGAACCCACGAGCGUUGAAAAGCUCGGGGAUGACUUGUGGGUAGCGGUGAAAUUCCAAUCGAGCCCGGAGAUAGCUGGUUCUCCCCGAAAUAGCUUUAGGGCUAGCCUCAAGGUGAGAGAUACGGAGGUAGAGCACUGAAUGUCCUAGGGGGUAUUGCACCUACCGAAGACUAUCAAACUCCGAAUGCCGUCAUCUUAUACUUGGGAGUCAGACUGUGGGUGAUAAGAUUCAUAGUCGAAAGGGCAACAGCCCAGAUCGUCAGCUAAGGUCCCUAAAUGUAAGUUAAGUGGUAAAGGAUGUGGGAUUGCACAGACAACCAGGAUGUUGGCUUAGAAGCAGCCACUCAUUCAAAGAGUGCGUAAUAGCUCACUGGUCGAGUGAUCCUGCGCCGAAGAUUUCCGGGGCUAAAACUUACUACCGAAGCUACGGCAUCAGUAAUGAUGGGUAGGGGAGCU